UGCACCCAGACUUGAGUGAGGCGGUUCCCCCUUCCUUUUGGUUGGGUUACUCCGUCUCAUCCAGGCCAACAUCAGUUUACGGGGCCGGUUAAAGGCGUGAGGAAUGUAUCUACCUCCGGGUCGACUUAUAGCCUCGCGUGUCAUGCGGCCCCCGUGGACUGAGGAACGCGCUUCGGCUCGGAUGUUGGCGUAAUGG
rnacentral:rRNA from 1 species